UAGAGCAAUCCCAUACCCCCUUGUGGUGGCAAUAAAUCUGUGUCAUUCAGUAUGUAAUCUGUACCAGCACGUUGGACAUGGGGAUAUAGUGCUGGUGCGCUGUUAUUGUUAGUCGGUAAAAUGGAGUGCUGGAUAUUACUGGGGUAGCGGGGUGUGCGUGUGCCUCCCCUUUGUUAAGCCGUCGGUUGAUACUUUUGGGUGAAUAAUUUAGCUGUUGUCUAAAGUAUCUCUGGCCUGUGUCUUGCAUUUUCUUAUGCGUUUGCAAAUCCUCCCUCAAAUCAAACAGUUGUUUCAUCCAGUUUACGUGGUCUACCUGCCAACUCUAAGCCGUGAAGAAUGAACAACAGAGCAAAAGUUCUUAGAUGCAAAUUAUCUAAGUGUGCCAGACAAUGAUACGGGAGCCGUUCAUAUGUUCAUCCAAAGCAGCUUUAAAUGUCCCGUCACGUUUCCAAUGGAAUUUAAGGUGGCGGGACUUGCCGGAGGCGGCGGCGGUCUUGCUCAGAGACCACUCCUCGCUGUACUUCAGCAUCUCCUUGCCGAGAAGGUGGAUAUAGCGCUUACUCGUCUCCGUCAUUGUCUUCGACCGGUGUGAGUUCCGGGUCCUUGAGGAUUUGCGGCGGCGAGACAUCGGAGUCCCUCCGAGUUCGUACUCACCUGUGCCUUGAGAGGAUGAACUUUCGCCGCCGAGUUAGUGGAGGAUGUGCCUGCACGCCUUCGCAGCGGUUGCGUGCAAGGGGAGGGGGGAGAGGGCAGCACCUUCAACGCGGCUAGGCGGUGGCGACUCCUUCUCCUCCUUCACGUGGCGAUGGCGACUCCUGCUCCUGCUUCACGCGGCGUUCGAUUUGGAGGCCACGGUUGCGCAUGGGACAACAGGGAGGAGAGGAGGCCCCGUCUUCACCCGUCAGCGUGGAGGCAAAUGCAGCUCCCCAUUGACGCGGCGGAAAAGCGGCUCUGAUGGCGGCGCCAGACCGUGGUCUUGGAGGAGCAAGCACCGAAGCAUCAACUCCAUUUGUGCUUCGUACUCCUCUGUCGUCGUCGCGGCCUCCGAGAGGAGGGCGGCUGCUGCGGUGGUCGUCGUUGAUGCGGCUUGUCCUCCUCGUCACCGGAGGAUAUGACUAUCUCCUUCACGGAUGAGCCGAUCGUCGUGGAAGAAGAGGGCUCUGGAAAGUGAGGACGGUGAUGCCAAGAUCUGUAGCCGGAUCCGGAUCUGCCUGCCGGCGCCGAGGCCCAGGAGUUGCCUGUCGCCAGUGAGUGGAUGAAGAAAUGAGCGGGCGUGGUGCGCGGAGAUGUGGAAAGUGUGAUGUGGGCGACGCCAUGCUUAAAUAGUCGUGGCCAGGCGGAUGGACGGCCAACCCUCUUCUAUGUGGUGCCGCGGCUGGAGUUGGUUUCUCGAGACGACAUGUCAGUGUUGAAGCGGUGUCACCCAUCUAGUCGCGUCAGUCAGCGUCACCCUCCCGUCCGGUCACAUUGAGCGACAUCAAUGCUUGCCGUUGUGGCUCUGAGCCGGCAUGACGCGAGAAGCGGCACAUCCAUGGAAGAUAUCGCGGAAGAGGGUUCUGAGUGAGACUUGGGUGUCAGACGCUUACGUGGAAGUUUGCUUCCGGUUUGCAGGAAAACAGAUGUCCGAACCGAUCUACACACGGAUGAGGUAUCGUGUUGGAUGACACAAUACGCCCGGACCGCUUGAUCCGAUCAGAUGCAGGCGACUUGAGGGUCAGCAUUGGACAUGCCUUAAGCGGCAAGAACGGGCAUGUAUUUGAUUAGAGAAACAACACUGUUAUUGGUAAUGACUUCACCACAAAUGAAUUUAAAAAACACUCAUUAGUAUAAUGUCGAUUAUCCCAGCACCAAAUGAAGCCCGGAGCCAGAGGUUUUCUGAUGGACGUGACGCGGCAGUGCAUUCGUUUAGUCCCACAUCGCCCAGCCACACAGCACAUGAGUCAAACGCGCAGUAUAAGAGUCCCAGGGCGCAGAGGAGUUUCCACAGGAGGUGCGGCCGAGUUGGUUGGUCUGAUGGUUAACGAAACCACGGCAUAGAGGCACUGCAAACAUCCGAGAUGAGCAAACUAAGCUUGUCCCAAGUUUGCAGUCCUCGAUGUCGUAGUUUUGUUUUUCCAUCUAUUUUUACAUUAUAAAAUUAAAAUUAAAUUAGUUUUUGGGCUCAUAAGGCCCAACCAAUGCCAAGCUUCAAACUGUUACUGCUCACUCUCGUGAGUCACGAGCCAAGCAGAAAGCCGCUUGCUUCGUCUGAACUUUCGUGCACUCACGCAACCACACAGCAAGUCCACAACAGCAACCUCAGCACAAAAGAAAGAAAAAUCAACAACACUACCACAAAACAAAAAAAC
rnacentral:lncRNA from 1 species